rnacentral:tRNA from 1 species
GGAGGGGUGCCGGAGCUGGUCGAACGGGGCGGUCUCGAAAACCGUUGUCCCGUUUACUCGGGACCGGGGGGUCGAAUCCCUCCCCCUCCG